rnacentral:tRNA from 2 species
GGUGAGGUGGCCGAGUGGCUGAAGGCGCGCCCCUGCUAAGGGCGUAUAGGGGGAACUCUAUCGAGGGUUCGAAUCCCUCCCUCACCG